UAAUGAAGUUACGUAAGAAAUUCGUUUUGCGAGAUAUCAUGCGAGUUGUCGACAAAGAUUCUUAAAUACAUUUGAUAUUCAAAAGUUAAUGAUAUCGUACUUUCCGCAUUACUUUUCCAAACUACUCUGUGCCUCUUGAAGAGGUACUGGUUGGUUUUAAAAAAUAAAGAAAAGUAAGUAGAGGCUCUUGCAUGCAAGGCGUACUGGUUGUUGUGCAGUUUGACACUAAAAAGAUCUUUAAUUAUUUUCUACUAACAAUUCAUAUCCUUAACAAUGGAUCUCAAUAAUCCAAUUAAUAUAUUUGCCGUUCAAGAUAAUAGUAGUAUAAUAAGCCAGACUAUAAUUGAUCAUGUGAUUCCAUUGAGAAGAAGAAUAUAGUGUGGAUUUUAAUGUAGAAAAAGAUGAAGACAAAAAAGUAAUGAUAGCAAUGAAGAAUUUAAGUAAAUGUGGUAGCAGCAUUGCAGUUGAAAAUGCUUUGGUACACAAUAUCAUUAUGGUUCCUCCGAUUCUUCAGGUAGAAGAAUCUUUACUAUCUCUUGGUAGUCAUGGCAAUGUCGAUGGAGUUUUCUACUGCCUUUUAAUUAAAGUUAAUGCUUUAGGAAAAGAAACUUAUUUGGCUAGAUAUUUUGAGUUUGGCAGUUUUACUGCAUACUUUGAUAAUAUUGCACAUGGAAAGCUGAAAAAAGAUUUAAUGGUUGAUGAAAUUCUUCCAUAUUGUGUAUUUACAAUAAAGGAUGUUGAUAUGGAACUUGCAUUAAAAAAAGAAACUUUUGGACACAGAACUAAGAGUGGUAUUUGAUUAGGGAUUGUCCAUAAAUUAUGCAACGCAAAAUAUAUUUAAAUAACAAAAGUAAUAGAUAUUAAGCUUUUUUACAAUUUUCAUUUAACUUAUUGGGGUAUUUUGAUUUUAUUUAAAUUAAGACUCUGCGAGGGAAAACUUUUGAUCUUUUUUGUUUUGUUCAUUGUGAAAGUUUGCGUUACAUAAUUUAUGGACGAUCCCUUACGGAUUUUUUGUCAGAAUGCAAAUUUCUUUUUGCCUUAAAAAAAAAUUAAUACACAAUAAUUAUAUAUGUAUAUGUAUAUAUAUAUAUAUAUAUAUAUAUAUAUAUGUGUGUGUGUG